AAAUAAAAAAUAGCGGUAAGAAAGAAAAGAGAAGAAAAUAAGAGAAGAGAUAACAGAAAAUGGAGAAACUGUUAGAAAGGUUCAUAUGUUGAAGUUAAAAUGUUGGACAGUUAUGUCACCGCGCCUUAAGUCUCGCGUGAGUUACAUCAGCGUAUCGCUGGAGCUUGUGCGCAGAGGUAAGUUAAAAGUUGCUGGUAUCAACUGAGUGUGUUGCUGUGAUUGUGUGCGUCUUUGACACAAAUCCUUAGGCUCCCCAACAGAAACAGUAGGUUUAUUUACAUUU